AGCUCUUUGGAUUCACUGAACGGUACGGAGCAGUGUUCUCAUCCCGGGAGCAGCCCAAACUGGCUGGGUUUCAGCAAUUCCUGCAGAGCCUGCAGCCCAGGACGACUGAAGCUCUUGCAGCCCCUGCAGACGAGAGUCAGGCCAGCACCCCCCGACCAGCUUCCCCACUGAUGCACAUCGAAGGCUUCCUGGCAGCUCUCACUACGGCCAACCAGGACGGCAGGGUCAUCCUGAGCCGCCAAGGCAGCCUCAGUCAGAGCACUCUGAAGUUUUUGCUCCUGAAUCCAGCUGUGCACUUUGCCCAAGUGGUGAAGGAAUGCCGGGCAGUGGUCAUUGCCGGGGGGACCAUGCAGCCGGUGUCUGACUUCCGGCAGCAGCUGCUGGCCUGUGCCGGGGUGGAAGCUGAGCGCGUGGUGGAGUUUUCCUGUGGUGAGAAGCUGUGCCCAGGAUGGGGCAGGCUAGAGGUCAGGUUCUGGCCCCCGUUUUCUGUGGGUAAUACCUCAUACUGCGACCAGGCACAGAGGCGGAGGAGACCCCGAGAUGGGAGACUCACCCUUCGUGCGCUCGCC
rnacentral:sRNA from 1 species